ACGCAGACCCAGUCAUAUAAAUACAGCGGUGGAACCAGCCAGAUUUAACUCUGAAUGGAAAAUGUUUUCAACAAAUAGGUCUGGGAGCCUCAAAUAAAUGACAGACUUAGCAAGAGGUAGAAGAUGUGACUUUGCCCUUUCGAAGGCACUCACUCAUGUUUGGGACGCAGGCGUAUGGAGACGCCAAACAGAAUCAGUGUGUGUUAAUGAGCUAAACAAGGCUCACCUCCCAGCCUCCACAGAUGGUGGAGAAGCCUGAAAGCAAAUUAAGCCUAAAUGGGUCACCAAAUGCUUUUCGGUUCUUCUUAGGGACCAAGACGGAUCUUCACGGCCCCAUCGGCCUUUCUAUCUAACACAGAGAUUUUACAGAUUUUACCCCGGCAGCGCGAAGGAGGCGAAGGCACCCUGUGAGGUGCCCCACAGAUCCUUGUGAUUCACCGUGUCAGCGCUGUGUGUAUGGGUCACCAUGUGAAGGAGGCCAGGAGACUGGAGGAUGAGAUGCCACAUGGAGAAGAGAUGAGCCAUCCCAGGAGGAAGGCCUUAGACCAGCCUGUCUGCAAACCACCAGUCAUGAGCAAGGCCAUCUCAUCAGUUGGCCAUGGCACAUGAGAGGGCCCAACAGAGAUCGGCUGAGCCAAUCCAGAAAAAACUCCCAGCUGACUCACAGAAUUAUGAGCUGAAUAAAAGCUAAAUUGUGUUGUUUGAA